rnacentral:rRNA from 1 species
CAGUAGCCGCGGGAAUGCGUAGGGGGCAAGCGUUAUCCGGAAUUACUGGGUGUAAAGGGAGCGUAGACGGUUAAACAAGUCUGAAGUGAAAUGCCGGGGCUCAACCCCGGAGCUGCUUUGGGAACUGUAGAACUGGAGUGUCGGAGUGGUAAGCGGAAUUCCCAGUGUAGCGGUGAAAUGCGUAGAUAUUGGGAGGAACACCGGCGGCGAAGGCGGCUUACUGGACGACAACUGACGUUGAGGCUCGAAGGCGUGGGUAGCAAACAGGAUUAGAUACCCGCGUAGUCCCUGUCUCUUAUAC